rnacentral:rRNA from 1 species
GUGGGGAAUAUUGGACAAUGGGCGAAAGCCUGAUCCAGCCAUGCCGCGUGUGUGAAGAAGGUCUUCGGAUUGUAAAGCACUUUAAGUUGGGAGGAAGGGCAGUAAGUUAAUACCUUGCUGUUUUGACGUUACCGACAGAAUAAGCACCGGCUAACUUCGUGCCAGCAGCCGCGGUAAUACGAAGGGUGCAAGCGUUAAUCGGAAUUACUGGGCGUAAAGCGCGCGUAGGUGGUUUUGUAAGUUGGAGGUGAAAUCCCCGGGCUCAACCUGGGAACUGCCUCCAAAACUGCAUGACUAGAGUACGGUAGAGGGUAGUGGAAUUUCCUGUGUAGCGGUGUAAUGCGUAGAUAUAGGAAGGAACACCAGUGGCGAAGGCGACUACCUGGACUGAUACUGACACUGAGGUGCGAAAGCGUGGGGAGCAAACAGGAUUAGAAACCCCAGUAGUCC